GUGAGGGGCAAAGCAGCCAUUACCACAUGACUCACUAACGCCAUCAAGAACAACAUAUAAGAUUUUCUUUCAUAACCCCAUGAAACGAUUCUACUUCUAAGCUUUUGUUCUUCAUGCUCGUAUAUUAAUAUAUAUACUUCUCUCUGGAAAAAAACCUCGCUGUCAGAGCUGACUUAUAGCGUCAGGCUUUUGGCCUCUUUCACAGGAUUUUAACCUCAUCCUUGUUCAUAUUCCAAAAUUCAAAAACAUUACUUGUACACACAAGAGAAAACAUCAAGAAAA
rnacentral:misc_RNA from 1 species